UGGAUCACCUCCUAACAGGGAGACAACAAAAUGUUUAUAUUAUUAUUUUGUCACCUUAGGUCGAUCGGUAUCUCACGUUCUUAAUUUAUUAAGAAUUUCAUUUCCUAAGUUUUUCUAGGUCACACCCAUUAUUUUUCCUGGGCCAUUAGCUCAGGUGGUUAGAGCGCACCCCUGAUAAGGGUGAGGUCCCUGGUUCAAGUCCAGGAUGGCCCAUAUCUCUAUGUUGGGGGUAUAGCUCAGUUGGCAGAGCGCCUGCUUUGCAAGCAGGAUGUCAGCGGUUCGAGUCCGCUUACCUCCACUGAUUACCACCUCUUCCAUAAUUUGAAGAAAGGAAAUUUUUUGAGUUGUGAUCAAAUUCUGAACGAAUCUAGCUUCCUAAUGAAUCCAUUAAGAUGCUGGACUCAUUGAAUUAAUUUUCAUUGUUUUCAGAGAACCUUGACAACUGCAUAGAUUAUUUUUAAAGACAAUAAGCAUCUUUAAUGAUGCAGAUUUAUUAUUUGUGCGAAUGCAUUAAUAACAAUUCUAUUAAGCUGAUGCUUCAAUUUAAUGAAGUUAUUGGUCAAGCUACAAAGGGCUCACGGAGGAUACCUAGGCACACAGAGGCGAUGAAGG
rnacentral:tRNA from 1 species